rnacentral:RNase_P_RNA from 1 species
CCCUUUGGCACAGGCAAGGGUGCAAAGGUGCGGUAAGAGCGCACCAGCAGCAUCGAGAGGUGCUGGCUCGGUAAACCCCGGCCGGGAGCAAGGCCCAGGGACCAUGGUUGGCCAUUCACCGGUCCCGCCAACAGCGCGCCGCUUGAGGCCGCCGGUAACGGCGGUCCCAGACAGAUGAUCACCCCUCGAACAGAACCCGGCUUACGUCCUGCUUUCCGCC